GCAAUAGUUUAUGCCGUGUCAGCAAGAAAAGGCAAUGAAGCCAAAAUUCUAAACAAGAUGCCUGCCUCAUGGCAUGUACCUUGCUUCAGCAAUUUGGCAUGAGAAGAAUUUUUUGCUUCUUGGCCUUCAUGCAAGAGGGAUGCAAGUAACUCAAGAGCCAUGAUCAGUCAAAUUGACCCAUCAUGGGCACAAAGAUGGCUACCAUCAUGGUACCAGGAACAUAGCAAAGCAAACCUGACUACAAGGAAGAGAUGUGGGCGAGGUGAUCAUAAGGAAGCUAUCUAGAUGCACACCACACAAAAGAUAAAAUUUCUACAUAUGUUAAUGGCUAAAGAUAAGAAGAAGGUUCCUCCAUCUAACAAAGGCUUUAUGUUAGCAAUUCCCUGGAAGUUUACAUUCCUUUAUGUCGAACUAUCAUUAAGAAAACCAGAACUGAGUCAACAUGGUGUAUGGCUAUUCCUCGGUAACAAGAAUAGAGACCCCAGACAUACAUCUAGCUUCUAUGUAUAUACACCAAGCAGAGCCAAAAACCUCUACGACCCCAGGUAAACUUCUUAGGACAUGCAAAAGAGGCAUGUUUGAGACUAUAUGACCCAAUAACAAUGAUACAGAGAGUCCUAUGGAACCAGAGAUGCUGUAUGUAGACCUAUUGGAAAAUCUAUAGAAGACAAGGAUUAAAAAAUUGAGCACAUCAACCCAAAAUCAUGCUGUACUCUACCACACAGGCCAGCUCCCAUAUCAGCUGGCCAUCAAUGCAGUAACUAUUUUCAUAAACUGAAUGCUUGGUAGAAGACAAUCACCAUACUAAGUUAACCAUUAGACGACUAGUCAACUUGGCAUAUAAGAUCUCUAGGAAAAAGACAAUCAUCAUUUGAAUCAAAACCAAGAUCUCAUGAUCCUAUUAUUUUUCUAAUUGAAAUCAUUAACCAUCUAGUCCAGUCUUCAGCACAAAAGGAAACUAGAUUCACAUAAAAGAAGACAGAUUAAAAAAAGUAUUAUACUACUGCAUAAUGAAGGAGGAAAGCACUGAUAACUGAGCAAGAAAGGAGUCAAAAUUAUGUAAGAACAAGUCUUGGAAAUUAUUUGUAUUUAAAUUCAAAAUAACACCCCCUAGGGUCAAGUAGGUGAAAAAAGAGAAAGAAAAGAAAACAAAUUAAGAGAGAAGAAAAGCAUAUAUGGAGCCCAAGAAGGAAGUGCAAGUAGUGUGAAAAGGCCAAACAUAUGGCACUGGCUCCAGCCUGUUAAGAACAUAGCACCAUGCCCUAACUGCUUAAGAUCUAGAAGAUGAUUAAAAGCUCCACCAAGAUAAUAUGAUAAAGAGGAAUGCAACAAGAACAAAGGGUCGGAUGGGAUGGAACAGGGCUUUUUAUCUACACUAACUUAAGAAGGAUUACUAGAAAGGACUAUAAGCAAAAAGAAUUUCAAGCGAAAAAGGAAUAUGAGUCAUAUGACAAUUGUGAACAUCUGUGUUGGAUGAGAUGGGGUACAGUUGUUUGUCUAGGAGUUGGAUCCAUCUCUAUACCUCAAUGUAUAGAGACUCAGCUGAAAAGGAUCUGAAAAAUGAAUGUUGGUAAUGUGGACACAACUCAUCAUUAUAUGAAUGCUCCUUUCUGGGUAUGCAUACUCCCCUUUGACAAAUUAUAUCCCUCUUUAAGUAUAAAUAAAUCAAAAGGAGUGACUUUACUAUAUUUACGGAAAUAAUUCUGAUUGAUGGUUCACAAACAUCCAUCAAAUGUUCCUUUUACAAGCAAUGAUUUGCAGCACUAUUCGAAUUAGCUGAUGAAUUACCUAGGACAUUGGGCCCUGCUAAUGUCCCAAGCCAACCUUUCAUGAGUUGCACCAUUACCUACUGAAAAGAAAAAGUAAGGCACAUAGCAUGACUCCUCAUUAAAUUGCAACUUCAAGCACCUAAAAUUAAUUAUAUGGUAACUUCCAUUCCAAAUUAGUGGGUUCAGCUUACUGUUUAUAAUCUGGAUAAUCCUGUGUUUUGAGUGCUGAAACGGCAAGUGCUAUGCUUCACAUGCUUUGGUAUUAUUCUGCAUUUAUUACACUAGCAUGCGAUUUAUUAAUUCAGAAAAUUCCUGCUAUAAAAAUAUUGAUUUAGUUGUACACUAUUUUAUACUUAAGAAGACUUGUAAUUGAACUCUGAUACCUAAAAUUAUAUCAUUCACAAGCCAAAGAAUUUAACCAAGUCUGAAACUAAUUCAUAUGAAAAUAGAAAAUAAAAAUAGAACACCACUGAUUACCUUCUCCUCCAUCAAUGAUAAUCUAGCAUUACCAGUCUCUUAUAUAAUGCAUCCUCAUUUAGAGUUUUCUAGCACCUCUCUCCCUUAACAAAGAUAGAUAUACCCAACAAGGAGAAAAAGAAUCAGGUUAAGAAAAAAAAAAGGCAUAAGAGAAGGGAAUCAUGUCAUGCCAUGCAAUAUCAAAAUUACUUGCAUGUACCUAUCACAACUUCACAACAACUAAUAAAAGAAUCAAAUCGUCACCAAAUUGAUCAAUGCUUUAUCAGCAACUGAGCCAACAUAUAGAACCAAGGUUUGCUAUACCGUACCGAAUCGAGCGGUACGGGAUGUGCCAUAUCAUACCAGUUCAGUACUUGAUACGCCGAACCAGCCUUAUAUCAUACCGUAUCAACACAGUGAUAGGUUGGCAGUGGUAUGGAACCCGGUACCGAGACAGCGUACCUUAUAUAAAACCCUAAGCAAAAUUUCCAAGACUAGGAGCAUGGGCAACAUGCAAAAAGCAUAACAAAGCCAAGAUGUAUGACCCCAAAAACAAACAUACACAAUCACCAAGACUUUUUAGCUAAUAAUGCAAUUGUGAAUCUAGCAUUAGGAAGCCCAAAGAAGCUCUAAAACCAAAAUGAUAUACUUUGCCAAUUAUGUUUUGUGAUGUUAAUGCAAAGGUAAUUUAAUACAACAAUAAAGUGUAGAACCUAUUAUGUGAUGUUUUGUUUUGUGUAAUCUCAAGUCAUGGCUGCUAAUGCUAUGACUGAACUGCUAGCUUCAAAGUGAGACAUCCACAAGAGGCUUCUCCAAACCAUACCUCGGACACACUUGCCACUCUUUCAAGACUUUCUCUUUUCAGAAUAAUGAAAUAGCUACAGAGUGGUAAUUAUGUAUGAAAGAACAAACUUUCGCAAAG